GACGUAGGGCGCGAGCGUUGUCCGGAAUUAUUGGGCGUAAAGAGCUCGUAGGCGGUCUGUCGCGUCGGCUGUGAAAACCCGAGGCUCAACCUCGGGCCUGCAGUCGAUACGGGCAAACUAGAGUACUGCAGGGGAGACUGGAAUUCCUGGUGUAGCGGUGAAAUGCGCAGAUAUCAGGAGGAACACCCGUGGCGAAGGCGGCUCUCUGGGACGGUACUGACGCUGAGACGCGAAAGCGUGGGGAGCGAACAGG
rnacentral:rRNA from 1 species